GCCCCCAUCGUCUAGUGGUUAGGACAACAGGUUCUCAUCCUGUAAAGAGGAGUCCGAUUCUCCUUGGGGGCA
rnacentral:tRNA from 1 species